CGCCUCUUGACAAAUCAUAAGAGGUCCUGCCUGCCCAGUGAUAAAUUCAACGGCCGCGGUACCCUAACCGUGCAAAGGUAGCAUAAUCACUUGUUCUUUAAAUAGGGACUAGUAUCAACGGCAUCACGAGGGUUGCACUGUCUCCCCUCUCUAAUCAGUGAAACUGAUCUCCCUAUGAAAAAGUAGGGAUAACACUAUAAGACGAAAAGACCCCAUGGAGCUUUAAACCCAACAGCAACUUAGCAAAGCUACAAAACUAUGCUAGCGGUUUUAGGUUGGGGUGACCGCGGAGUAAAAACUAACCUCCACAACGAAAAGAUUUAAAUCUUUACCCAAGAACUACUAUUCUAAGAAUUAGAAAACUAACGGACUAUGACCCGAUAUCGAUCAAUGAACCAAGUUACCCUGGGGAUAACAGCGCAAUCUACUUCAAGAGUCCAUAUCGACAAGUAGGCUUACGACCUCGAUGUUGGAUCAGGGUAUCCUAGUGGUGCAGCCGCUACUGAAGGUUCGUUUGUUCAACGAUUAAAACCCU
rnacentral:rRNA from 1 species